rnacentral:lncRNA from 13 species
GAAAGACAUUGGAGAAAGCAUGCCCACAACUUGUUGUCUGUGUUUGAAGCUAAAAUUCAGUCUCAGUGAAUUGGAUAUCUUUCAAGAUGGAAAUUGAUUCUCAUAUAUCUUUAUGUCUGGCUCCUAAGAGGUCUCAAUAAAUGUUUGUUAAAUACAUGUACGCCUGAAUGAAAAAAAUGUGUAAUGCUUUCCUAAGCCAAGACACUUUAGCUGAAAUGUCUCGCUCUGUCACUCAGCUGGAGUGCAAUGGCAGGAUCUCAGCUCACUGCAACCUUCACCUCCCAGGUUCAAGCAAUUCUCUCACCUCAGCUUCCCAAAUUCUUAUGGUAUAACAUGAUUGCCAGAAACUCAAAGAGAAAAGUAUUUAUUAUAAUUACUGUCAAAGAAAAACAAAGCUGGACACUGAAGUGCUGUUUGGAUGUUUGGAGAAAAGAUUGGGUCUGAUACAAACUGCUUUCCCAUAUCCAGAAACAGAAGUACUCAGUAUUAUGGACUUUGGAAUAUCUAAAGAAUUCAACUCUUUAAUAAACAUACCCAGUAAAGAGAAAAUAUGUACACUUUUAAAUGGCAUUAUUCAUUGUAUAUUUAUAUCUGUAACUAUGUCUUUAUAUAUCAUUUUGUAUUUUCAAUGAACAUAGUAAGGGAUUGUGUGACCUAAUGUACCACCGAGUAGAGGUUGUCAUUGAGCUUUCAGCAUUGUUAUGGAAGUAGCAGAGGUUGAAGUAAAGAUGUGUUAGGAUGACAAAACAUAGUUUAAA